GCAGCUGUGGUCUAGUUGGUCAUGACAUGUGCUUAACAAAUGACGUCAUUAAGACGCACAGGGUCCCCGGUUCGAGCCCGGGCAGCUGUA